GUAGGGAAUCUUGCGCAAUGGGCGAAAGCCUGACGCAGCCAUGCCGCGUGAAUGAUGAAGGUCUUAGGAUUGUAAAAUUCUUUCACCGGGGACGAUAAUGACGGUACCCGGAGAAGAAGCCCCGGCUAACUUCGUGUCAGCAGCCGCGGUAAUACGAAGGGGGCUAGCGUUGCUCGGAAUUACUGGGCGUAAAGGGCGCGUAGGCGGACAGCUUAGUCAGAGGUGAAAGCCCAGGGCUCAACCUUGGAAUUGCCUUUGAUACUGGCUGUCUUGAGUUUGGGAGAGGUGAGUGGAACUCCGAGUGUAGAGGUGAAAUUCGUAGAUAUUCGGAAGAACACCAGUGGCGAAGGCGACUCACUGGCCCAAUACUGACGCUGAGGCGCGAAAGCGUGGGGAGCAAACAGGAUUAGAAACCCCAGUAGUCC
rnacentral:rRNA from 1 species